rnacentral:rRNA from 1 species
UACGGGGGGGCAAGCGUUGUUCGGAAUUACUGGGCGUAAAGGGCGCGUAGGCGGCCUUCUAAGUCGGACGUGAAAUCCCUCGGCUUAACCGAGGAACUGCGUCCGAUACUGGAAGGCUUGAAUCCGGGAGAGGGAUGUGGAAUUCCAGGUGUAGCGGUGAAAUGCGUAGAUAUCUGGAGGAACACCGGUGGCGAAGGCGGCAUCCUGGACCGGCAUUGACGCUGAGGCGCGAAAGCUAGGGGAGCAAACAGG